rfam:Otolemur garnettii contig106371, whole genome shotgun sequence.
GCCAAGAACAAAUUUACAUGCCUAUAAUCCCAGCUAUUCAAGAGGCUGAGGUGGGAGUAUUGCCUGAGCCCAGGGGUUCUGGGCUGUAGUGUGUGAUGCUGAUCAGGAAUCUUCACUAAGUUUGGCACCAAUAUGGUGACCUCCUGGCAGUAGGGUGUCAGGAGGUCACCUGAGGAGGGGUGAACUGGUCCAGGUCAGAAAUGGAGCAGGUAAAAACUCCUAUGAUGACCAGUUGUGGGAUUGUGUCUGCGAAUAGCCACUGCACUCCAGUCUGGGCAACACAGCAAGACUCCAUCUUUU